AUUGAACGCUGGCGGCAUGCCUUACACAUGCAAGUCGAACGGUAACAGGUCUUCGGAUGCUGACGAGUGGCGAACGGGUGAGUAAUACAUCGGAACGUGCCUAGUAGUGGGGGAUAACUACUCGAAAGAGUGGCUAAUACCGCAUGAGAUCUACGGAUGAAAGCAGGGGAUCGCAAGACCUUGUGCUACUAGAGCGGCCGAUGGCAGAUGAGGUAGUUGGUGGGAUAAAAGCUUACCAAGCCGACGAUCUGUAGCUGGUCGGAGAGGACGAUCCGCCCCACUGGGACUGAGACACGGCCCCGCCUCCUACGGGAGGCAGCAGUGGGGAAUUUUGGACAAUGGGCGAAGGCCUGAUCCAGCAAUGCCGCGUGCAGGAUGAAGGCCUUCGGGUUGUAAACUGCUUUUGUACGGAACGAAAAGCCCUGGGUUAAUACCCUGGGGUCAUGACGGUACCGUAAGAAUAAGCACCGGCUAACUACGUGCCAGCCGCCGCGGUAA
rnacentral:rRNA from 1 species